UGGGGAAUCUUGCGCAAUGGGCGAAAGCCUGACGCAGCCAUGCCGCGUGAAUGAUGAAGGUCUUAGGAUUGUAAAAUUCUUUCACCGGGGACGAUAAUGACGGUACCCGGAGAAGAAGCCCCGGCUAACUUCGUGCCAGCAGUCGCGGUAAUACGAAGGGGGCUAGCGUUGCUCGGAAUUACUGGGCGUAAAGGGAGCGUAGGCGGACAUUUAAGUCAGGGGUGAAAUCCCGGGGCUCAACCUCGGAAUUGCCUUUGAUACUGGGUGUCUUGAGUGUGAGAGAGGUAUGUGGAACUCCGAGUGUAGAGGUGAAAUUCGUAGAUAUUCGGAAGAACACCAGUGGCGAAGGCGACAUACUGGCUCAUUACUGACGCUGAGGCUCGAAAGCGUGGGGAGCAAACAGGAUUAGAUACCCUGGUAGUCCACGCCGUAAACGAUGAUUGCUAGUUGUCGGGAUGCAUGCAUUUCGGUGACGCAGCUAACGCAUUAAGCAAUCCGCCUGGGGAGUACGGUCGCAAGAUUAAAACCUCAAAGGAAUUGACGGGGUCAUAGCUGUUUCCU
rnacentral:rRNA from 1 species